rnacentral:rRNA from 1 species
CCUACGGGGGGCAGCAGUAGGGAAUAUUGGUCAAUGGCCGGAAGGCUGAACCAGCCAUGCCGCGUGAAGGUCAGUGCCCUAUGGGCGUUAAACUUCUUUUGUGCGGGAGCAAUAAUGGUCACGUGUGGCCAGACGAGAGUACCGUACGAAUAAGCAUCGGCUAACUCCGUGCCAGCAGCCGCGGUAAUACGGGGGAUGCAAGCGUUAUCCGGAUUUAUUGGGUUUAAAGGGUGCGUAGGCUGUGAGGUAAGUCAGCGGGGAAAUGCCCCCGCUCAACGGGGUGAAGUGCCAUUGAUACUGCCUUGCUGGAAUGCGGAUGCCGUGGGAGGAAUGUGUGGUGUAGCGGUGAAAUGCAUAGAUAUCACACAGAACACCGAUUGCGAAGGCAUCUCACGAAUCCGCGAUUGACGCUGAUGCACGAAAGCGUGGGUAUCAAACAGGAUUAGAUACCCGGGUAGUC